GUUUACGGCCAUACCACCCUGAACACGCCCGAUCUCGUCUGAUCUCGGAAGCUAAGCAGGGUCGGGCCUGGUCAGUACUUGGAUAGGAGACCGCCUGGGAAUACCAGGUGCUGUAAGGU
ensembl:rRNA 5S_rRNA 5S ribosomal RNA